rnacentral:ncRNA from 1 species
CAGCGGGUGUAAGCCCCGCCCGGCAACGGCUCCAACCGGAAGCAAGCGGAGCAGUCAUGGGGAUAACGAAAUGGCUGAAGCCUUCGGGGAAUGCGUGUCACGAAUUGGUGACAGCGUGAAUGUGCAGGCUUGAACGCGA